GAAGUAAGUGAUCUAGAAAGAGAUCCACCUACUUCAUGU
rnacentral:misc_RNA from 1 species